rnacentral:rRNA from 1 species
UACGUAGGGGGCAAGCGUUGUCCGGAUUUAUUGGGCGUAAAGAGCGUGUAGGCGGCCAGGCAGGUCCGUUGUGAAAACUCGAGGCUCAACCUCGAGACGUCGAUGGAAACCGUCUGGCUAGAGUCCGGAAGAGGAGAGUGGAAUUCCUGGUGUAACGGUGAAAUGCGCAGAUAUCAGGAAGAACACCUAUGGCGAAGGCAGCUCUCUGGGACGGUACUGACGCUGAGACGCGAAAGCGUGGGGAGCAAACAGG